rnacentral:lncRNA from 1 species
GUUGGAUAAAUCUGUUGGUGUGUUCUUAUCCAUUCAUUCAACUAUAAUAACUUCCCUUUUCCUCUGAUAUAUCCAAUCAGAAUAAAUAUACAAGUUGCCAACAUGCAAAAUGUUAAGAAGGUGCAAAUUAAGUCUAACAGGGUGAUGAUAAACUUGAACAUUAUUUUCUCUACAAAUUGUAUCGAAUAGUCACGUGAACGCACAAGGUGGAUCCCGUAGUAGAAAAAAUAAGUUGAAUUGCAUGGUCGGAAUUUGUGACGAUUGUGCCCAUAUAAGAUGAUAGUCUUUGAUGCAGUAGAAGAGUGGGGCACUGGUGGGGCAUGUAAUUGAUUUGAGAAAGAGAGACUA